AGGACGAACGCUGGCGGCGUGCUUCAUACAUAGCAAGUCGAACGAGAAAUUCACUUCGGUGGAAUGGAAAGUGGCGGACGGGUGAGUAAAAUGUAGAGAAUCUGCCCUAGAGAGGGGGACAACAGAGGGAAACUUCUGCUAAUACCCCAUAUGAGCGUACUUGAGAUAGUAUUCUUGAAAACUCCGGUGCCCUGGGAUGAGUCUGCAUCUGAUUAGCUAGUUGGGGGUGUAAUGGACCACCAAGGCGAUGAUCAGUAGCUGGUUUGAGAGGAUGAUCAGCCACAAUGGGACUGAGACACGGCCCAUACUCCUACGGGAGGCAGCAGUAGGGAAUUUUGCGCAAUGGGGGAAACCCUGACGCCAGCAACGCCGCGUGACCGAUGACGCCCUUCGGGGUGUAAAGGUCUGUCAGUGGGGACGAACGAUGACGGUACCCACAGAGGAAGCACCGGCUAACUCCGUGCCAGCAGCGGC
rnacentral:rRNA from 1 species